GGUCAAGCUUCAACACAACCGAUCACAACAAGCACGUGAAAAUAUGGAAAUGCAAAGUGUGCAGGUUUAAAGGAAGAAAAGGCCUGAAGAUGAAUCAGUGGAGUGAGGAGAGUAUGAAAGCUGCAAUAGAGGAGUUGCUACGAUUGCUGGCAAGGAAGUGGAACGUGCCAAAAACGACCCUUCAGAGACACCUGAAAGGGCUCAUCGAGGGAUCCGAGCAUACGUCUGGAAGAAAGCCAUUCAUCCCUGUUGAAUCUGAGCGGGAGUUCGCGCGCCUUCUCACCUUGCUUUCAGAGAGAGGCUUCUCCUUGAGGAAGACUGAUGUUCAGUCUCUUGCUUUUGAGUUUGCCUAGAUAAAUGGCAUCCGAGGGUUUUCAGAAGAGAAGCAAAAGGCAGGCUAUUACUGGUUCGAGGGCUUUAUGAAGCGAAACCCCGGGGCUGAAAAUAAAGAACCCUGAGACCACAUCACCAGCUACAAGGUUGAAUGAAGAAGAGCUGGAAAAAUGGUUCAUGAUGUAUUAAAACACCCUUGAUGCUUUGGGAAUUAAACACGUCCCUUCACAUAUUUGGAAGUGUGAUUUAUCAGGACUAAAACAAGUUCUCCUCUCAACAAUCUGUCGGGGAGGGACAAGAUCCCAGCGUUCAGAUCACAACCGAGGAGGAAACGGCCUCAACUACACUAGCAGCACUAAAUAUCAGUAGUGCAUUUGCUCCUCCGCUUAUCAUUUUCAAAGGAAUUAAUGUGAGAAAUGAGUGGAUGAAUGAGACUCUGGAAAACCUGUCUGUGAGAGCAUCGGGUACAGCAGAGGUGUUCAUUGAUUGGGGGAAAUGUUUGUGGCUCAGCUCCCAAAAGAUGACUCCAGGCCCCACCUUCUGCUCCUCGAUGGCCAGAGCUGCCACGUCUUCAACCUCAGCUUCCUCAGUCUCAUGAAGCAGAACAACGUGGAAUUCAUAUGCUUUCCUGCGCCGCAGCCGACAGCCAACACAGCUCUGUUUGGGAGCCUCAAACACAACUGGUGUGAACUGUGAAGUGAGUCACAAGUGAAUUCAGCAGCGUGCAAGAAUGAAGUUGGCCAAAGCACAUUAUUGUUCUGUUUUCAUGGACGUGUGGAAGAAAACUGCCACUGUUGAACGAGCCAAAGAUGUGUUCAGAACAACAGGGAUGUUCCCAAUAAAUGAGUUUACCUUCAUUGGGCAUGAAAGCACCACGCUAUCCGCCGAAGACGCCGCACAUUGCAACCCUGAUGAAGUGGCAUCAUUCACAGACUUUGUGGUCAUACAAAAAAGCCAAGACAGUACCAUAUUUACAAAGAAACUCAGAAUACCUUCUUUAUGAUCAACAUUUAAAACAAAGAAAUGAACAGAAUAAAGCAGCCACCUCCUACAAGAGAGGCUGCUUCAUAAACCACGGCUCAGACGGUGAUCUGAAAGCUGCUGAAGCGUGGAGCAGAUGCAGGAACUGUAAGGCCUGCUACCAUGAGUCUUGUGCAGAAGAGGAUGAUGGAGAUGGUGAUAAUCAAUAAACUGAAGCGUGGAAAGAACAAGAAAACAC
ensembl:lncRNA